rnacentral:rRNA from 1 species
UACGAAGGGGGCUAGCGUUGUUCGGAAUUACUGGGCGUAAAGCGCGUGUAGGCGGGUCGUUAAGUCGGGGGGGAAAGCCCAGAGCUCAACUCUGGAAUUGCCUUCGAUACUGGCGGCCUGGAGCAUGAUAGAGGCGAGUGGAAUUGCGAGUGUAGAGGUGAGAUUCGUAGAUAUUCGCAGGAACACCAGUGGCGAAGGCGACUCGCUGGAUCAUUGCUGACGCUGAGACGCGAAAGCGUGGGGAGCAAACAGG